rnacentral:rRNA from 1 species
AUUGAACGCUGGCGGCAGGCCUAACACAUGCAAGUCGAACGAGUGGCGGACGGGUGAGUAAUGUCUGGGAAACUGCCUGAUGGAGGGGGAUAACUACUGGAAACGGUAGCUAAUACCGCAUACCAUCGGAUGUGCCCAGAUGGGCUUAGCUUGUUGGUGGGGUAACGGCUCACCAAGGCGACGAUCCCUAGCUGGUCUGAGAGGAUGACAAGCCACACUGGAACUGAGCCACGGUCCAGACUCCUACGGGAGGCAGAAGUGGGGAAUAUUGCACAAUGGGCGCAAGCCUGAGGCAGCCAGGCCGAGUGUAUGAAGAAGGCAUUCGGGUUGUAAAGUACUUUCAGCGGGGAGGCGUUAACCGCAGAAGAAGCACCGGCUAACUCCGUGCCAGCAGCCGCGGUAAUAC